rnacentral:rRNA from 1 species
GAUGAACGCUGGCGGCGUGCUUAACACAUGCAAGUCGAACGAUGAAGCCCAGCUUGCUGGGUGGAUUAGUGGCGAACGGGUGAGUAACACGUGAGUAACCUGCCCUUAACUCUGGGAUAAGCCUGGGAAACUGGGUCUAAUACCGGAUAGGAGCGCCUACCGCACGGUGGGUGUUGGAAAGAUUUAUCGGUUUUGGAUGGACUCGCGGCCUAUCAGCUUGUUGGUGAGGUAAUGGCUCACCAAGGCGACGACGGGUAGCCGGCCUGAGAGGGUGACCGGCCACACUGGGACUGAGACACGGCCCAGACUCCUACGGGAGGCAGCAGUGGGGAAUAUUGCACAAUGGGCGGAAGCCUGAUGCAGCGACGCCGCGUGAGGGAUGACGGCCUUCGGGUUGUAAACCUCUUUCAGUAGGGAAGAAGCGAAAGUGACGGUACCUGCAGAAGAAGCACCGGCUAACUACGUG